rnacentral:rRNA from 1 species
CGCACGGGUGAGUAACACGUGACUAACCUACCCUCGAGUGGGGAAUAACCUAGAGAAAUCUGGGCUAAUACCGCACAACACUUACGAGUCAAAGCAGCAAUGCGCUUGAGGAGGGGGUCGCGGCAGAUUAGCUAGUUGGCGGGGUAAUGGCCCACCAAGGCAAUGAUCUGUAUCCGGCCUGAGAGGGCGCACGGACACACUGGAACUGAAACACGGUCCAG